UGUGCUAAUAGAUGAGCCUAAGUCGGAUUAGCUAGUUGGUAGGGUAAAGGCCUACCAAGGCGACGAUCUGUAGCGGGUCUGAGAGGAUGAUCCGCCACACUGGGACUGAGACACGGCCCAGACUCCUACGGGAGGCAGCAGUGGGGAAUAUUGGACAAUGGGCGAAAGCCUGAUCCAGCCAUGCCGCGUGUGUGAAGAAGGCCUUUUGGUUGUAAAGCACUUUAAGCGAGGAGGAGGAGCUUCAGGUUAAUACCCUGGAUGCUUGGACGUUACUCGCAGAAUAAGCACCGGCUAACUCUGUGCCAGCAGCCGCGGUAAUACAGAGGGUGCAAGCGUUAAUCGGAUUUACUGGGCGUAAAGCGUGCGUAGGCGGCUAAUUAAGUCAAAUGUGAAAUCCCCGAGCUUAACUUGGGAAUUGCAUUCGAUACUGGUUAGCUAGAGUAUGGGAGAGGAUGGUAGAAUUCCAGGUGUAGCGGUGAAAUGCGUAGAGAUCUGGAGGAAUACCGAUGGCGAAGGCAGCCAUCUGGCCUAAUACUGACGCUGAGGUACGAAAGCAUGGGGAGCAAACAGGAUUAGAU
rnacentral:rRNA from 1 species